rfam:Pan troglodytes isolate Yerkes chimp pedigree #C0471 (Clint) chromosome 4, whole genome shotgun sequence.
CAAGUACUGGUCUCAGCAGAUUGAAGAGAGCACCACAGUGGUCACCACGCAGUCCGCUGAGGUUGGAGCUGU